AGAGAUCAUGGCUCAGAAUGAACGCUGGCGGCGUGCUUUACACAUGCAAGUUGAGCGAGGCCGGUAGCAAUACCGAGUCGAGCGGCGAACGGGUGAGUAACGCGUGGAUAACCUGCCCUGAGGUGGGGAAUAACCCGGGGAAACUCGGGCUAAUACCGCAUGAUACCGAGAGGUCAAAGAGGGCUCGCAAGGGCUCUUGCCAUAGGAGGGGUCCGCGUUCGAUUAGCUAGUUGGUAGGGUAAUGGCCUACCAAGGCGACGAUCGAUAGCCGGCCUGAGAGGGUGAUCGGCCACACUGGAACUGAGACACGGUCCAGACUCCUACGGGAGGCAGCAGUGGGGAAUUUUGCGCAAUGGGCUAACGCCUGACGCAGCAACGCCGUGUGGAGGAUGAAGGUCUUUGGAUUGUAAACUCCUGUCAGCAGGGAAAAAGGGAUAGGACCUAAUACGUCCUAAACUUGAUUGUACCUGCAGAGGAAGCCCCGGCUAACUCUGUGCCAGCAGCCGCGGUAAUACAGAGGGGGCAAGCGUUAUUCGGAAUUAUUGGGCGUAAAGGGCGCGUAGGCGGCUUUUCAAGUGACGGGUGAAAUCCCUCGGCUUAACCGAGGAACUGCCUGUCAGACUGGAAGGCUUGAGACCGGGAGAGGUGAGUGGAAUUCCCAGUGUAGCGGUGAAAUGCGUAGAUAUUGGGAGGAACACCAGUGGCGAAGGCGGCUCACUGGACCGGUACUGACGCUGAGGCGCGAAAGCGUGGGGAGCAAACAGGAUUAGAUACCCUGGUAGUCCACGCCGUAAACGAUGAGUGCUUGGUGUAGCGGGUAUCGACCCCUGCUGUGCCGAAGUCAACACAUUAAGCACUCCGCCUGGGGAGUACGGUCGCAAGACUGAAACUCAA
rnacentral:rRNA from 1 species